CCGUGAAGAAAUGAUUCCGCUCCGAGAUGGUCUCGCGGCCUAUCAGCUUGUUGGUGAGGUAACGGCUCACCAAGGCUUCGACGGGUAGUUGGUCUGAGAGGACGGCCAACCACACUGGGACUGAGACACGGCCCAGACUCCUACGGGAGGCAGCAGUAGGGAAUCUUGCUCAAUGGGCGAAAGCCUGAAGCAGCGACGCCGCGUGCGGGAUGAAGGCCCUCGGGUCGUAAACCGCUUUCAGCAGGAACGAAAUUGACGGUACCUGCAGAAGAAGCACCGGCCAACUACGUGCCAGCAGCCGCGGUAAUACGUAGGGUGCAAGCGUUGUCCGGAUUCAUUGGGCGUAAAGAGCUCGUAGGCGGUUCAGUAAGUCGGGUGUGAAAUCUCCGUGCUCAACACGGAGCGGCCACCCGAUACUGCUGUGACUAGAGUCCGGUAGGGGAGUGUGGAAUUCCUGGUGUAGCGGUGAAAUGCGCAGAUAUCAGGAGGAACACCAGUGGCGAAGGCGGCACUCUGGGCCGUGACUGACGCUGAGGAGCGAAAGCGUGGGUAGCAAACAGGAUUAGAUACCCUGGUAGUCCACGCCGUAAACGUUGGGCACUAGGUGUGGGUCUCUAUCGACGGGAUCCGUGCCGUAGCUAACGCAUUAAGUGCCC
rnacentral:rRNA from 1 species